rnacentral:snoRNA from 1 species
UCGAGAUGAAUUUCAGAUGACGAGUCUGAGCACGUCUGCCAGUUUCUGGCUGUCCUCUGCGCUGACGAGUCUCCUUUCUUUACCAUUCAUGCUUUUCUGAUC